rnacentral:rRNA from 1 species
CCUACGGGAGGCAGCAGUAGGGAAUAUUCGUCAAUGGGCGCAAGCCUGAACGAGCAAUGCCGCGUGAACGAGGAAGGUCUUCGGAACGUAAAGUUCUGUUGACGGGGAAAAAGAGCGGAGAGAGGAAAUGAUUUCGGAUGGAUAUUACCGUUCGAGGAAGUGAGGGCUAACGACGGGCCAGAAGCCGCGGUAAUACGUAGGGGGGGAGCGUUAGCCGGGAUGCUUGGGCGUAGGGGGUGCGUAGGCGGCCUGCUAAGUCGGGCGUGAAAGGGACCGGCUGCACCGGUACCGGCUCUGGAAACUGGCGGGCUAGAGUGCAGGAGAGGUCGGUGGAACUCCUUGUGUAGCGGUCAAAUGCGUAGAUAUUUGGAAGAACACCAGUGGCGAAGGCGGCCGCCUGGCCUGUUACUGACGCUGAGGCACGAAAGCGUGGGGAGCAAAUAGGAUUAGCUACCCCGGUAGUC